rnacentral:rRNA from 1 species
GGGUGACUGCGUACCUUUUGUAUAAUGGGUCAGCGACUUAUAUUCUGUAGCAAGGUUAACCGUAUAGGGGAGCCGCAGGGAAACCGAGUCUUAACUGGGCGAAUGAGUUGCAGGGUAUAGACCCGAAACCCGGUGAGCUAGCCAUGGGCAGGUUGAAGGUUGGGUAACACUAACUGGAGGACCGAACCGACUAAUGUUGAAAAAUUAGCGGAUGACCUGUGGCUGGGGGUGAAAGGCCAAUCAAACCGGGAGAUAGCUGGUUCUCCCCGAAAGCUAUUUAGGUAGCGCCUCGUGAAGUCAUCUUCGGGGGUAGAGCACUGUUUCGGCUAGGGGGCCAUCCCGGCUUACCAACCCGAUGCAAACUGCGAAUACCGAAGAAUGUUAUCACGGGAGACACACGGCGGGUGCUAACGUCCGUCGUGAAGAGGGAAACAACCCAGACCGCCAGCUAAGGUCCCGAAGUCAUGGUUAAGUGGGAAACGAGGUGGGAAGGCCCAGACAGCCAGGAUGUUGGCUUAGAAGCAGCCAUCAUUGAAAGAAAGCGUAAUAGCUCACUGGUCGAGUCGGCCUGCGCGGAAGAUGUAACGGGGCUAAACCAUGCACCGAAGCUGCGGCAAUGACAUUCAGGUGUCAUUGGGUAGGGGAGCGUUCUGUAAGCCGUUGAAGGUGGCGCUGUGAGGCCCGCUGGAGGUAUCAGAAGUGCGAAUGCUGACAUAAGUAACGAUAAAGCGGGUGAAAAACCCGCUCGCCGGAAGACCAAGGGUUCCUGUCCAACGUUAAUCGGGGCAGGGUGAGUCGACCCCUAAGGCGAGGCCGAACGGCGUAGCUGAUGGGAAACAGGUUAAUAUUCCUGUACUGAAUGUGACUGCGAAGGGGGGACGGAGAAGGCUAGGCCAUCCGGGCGACGGUCGUCCCGGUUUAAGCGUGUAGGUGGGAGGAGCAGGCAAAUCCGCUCUUCUGUAACACUGAGGCGUGAUGACGAGCUGCUACGGCAGUGAAGUGGUUGAUGCCCGGCUUCCAGGAAAAGCCUCUAAGCAUCAGGUGACAUUGAAUCGUACCCCAAACCGACACAGGUGGUCAGGUAGAGAAUACUCAGGCGCUUGAGAGAACUCGGGUGAAGGAACUAGGCAAAAUGGUGCCGUAACUUCGGGAGAAGGCACGCUGGCGGUAGGUGAAGGAGUUUGCCUCCGGAGCCGAAGCCAGUCGCAGAGACCAGCUGGCUGCAACUGUUUAUUAAAAACACAGCACUGUGCAAACACGUAAGUGGACGUAUACGGUGUGACGCCUGCCCGGUGCUGGAAGGUUAAUUGAUGGGGUUAGCCGCAAGGCGACGCUCUUGAUCGAAGCCCCAGUAAACGGCGGCCGUAACUAUAACGGUCCUAAGGUAGCGAAAUUCCUUGUCGGGUAAGUUCCGACCUGCACGAAUGGCGUAAUGAUGGCCAGGCUGUCUCCACCCGAGACUCAGUGAAAUUGAACUCGCUGUGAAGAUGCAGUGUCCCCGCGGCAAGACGGAAAGACCCCGUGAACCUUUACUAUAGCUUGACACUGAACAUGGAGCCUUGAUGUGUAGGAUAGGUGGGAGGCCUGGAAGUGCGGACGCCAGUCUGCAUGGAGCCAUCCUUGAAAUACCACCCUUGAAUGUUUGAUGUUCUCACUUAAGCCCGUGACCCGGGUUGAGGACAGUGUCUGGCGGGUAGUUUGACUGGGGCGGUCUCCUCCCAAAGCGUAACGGAGGAGCACGAAGGUUGGCUAAUCACGGUCGGACAUCGUGAGGUUAGUGCAAAGGCAGAAGCCAGCUUAACUGCGAGAGUGACGGCUCGAGCAGGUACGAAAGUAGGUCUUAGUGAUCCGGUGGUUCUGAAUGGAAGGGCCAUCGCUCAACGGAUAAAAGGUACUCCGGGGAUAACAGGCUGAUACCGCCCAAGAGUUCAUAUCGACGGCGGUGUUUGGCACCUCGAUGUCGGCUCAUCACAUCCUGGGGCUGAAGUAGGUCCCAAGGGUAUGGCUGUUCGCCAUUUAAAGUGGUACGCGAGCUGGGUUUAGAACGUCGUGAGACAGUUCGGUCCCUAUCUGCCGUGGGCGCAGGAAGAUUGAAAGGGGCUGCUCCUAGUACGAGAGGACCGGAGUGGACGCACCGCUGGUGUACGGGUUGUCAUGCCAAUGGCAUCGCCCGGUAGCUAAGUGCGGGAGAGAUAACCGCUGAAAGCAUCUAAGCGGGAAACUUGCCUUGAGAUGAGUCUUCCCUUGACUUAGAGUCACGGAAGGAACGUUUAAGACGAAGACGUGGAUAGGCUGGGUGUGUAAGCGCAGCGAUGCGUUGAGCUGACCAGUACUAAUGAACCGAGCGGCUUAACCUU